rnacentral:misc_RNA from 1 species
GCCAUGCAGGAUUUCAGUUACAGUAUUCAUUGCGGUAAUUUUCAUAACCCUAUUACUAACAUUACACACGUAUUACAUUAUAUAUAUAAAAUUAAUUAUUUAUAUCAUGUGAUAUUUUUAUAGAAUUUAAAAAUUAUUACACAAUAAGAUAAUAAAUUCAAAGGCAAAGGCCUUGUGCUGGGCACACAAAAACUUGGACACUACCCCCUCAAAGUCAUAACGCUUGCUGCGAGCUUUGGAAACUCCAACACCAGCCUUAAGUUUCUCAAGGUCUCAUGGACAUUAGCUAGAGCAGGGAAUGAAUGCAAUAUCUACAAACCCCAACGCGUCUUCUCCGAAACAGGCCCUCUUCCCAAUCCCAAGCUACCCUUCCAUCACUUUAAAGCCUUCAAAUGAGUUCCUUUUCUGCUGCCCAACAAAGCAGGUUCAUUCUUUUUAUCAACAAAAUCAGCCCAAAACCGGGCAUGAGCUCUCUUGCAAUGGUCAGAAGAAGGCAGCAAAGGAGACUUGUGCUUCCAUACCUCAUCAAUGUACUGAACUAUGAUCAGUGAUUCCGAUAUGGGCUUCCCUCGUGUAUCAAGAGGGAUUUGCUUAUAGACUGGGUUCUUUUCUCAAAGCAGUGAGCUCUUGUUGCUCAAAUCCCAUCCUUGGACUCAUACUCUAUUCCCUUCUCAGCCACAGCAAUUUUCUCCUGGCUGCAUAAGAAGUAACCCACAAAUCCAAUAAGACCACUUCUUUACAUAUUCGCUGAGUUUCCCCGAAUUUUGGCUCUUAAAAAUCUUCAAAAUCAAUUAUUUGUCUUCCUCCAGAUAUUGCAUGCAAAAAGAAUGAACUGGAAAAAUUAAGCAAUAAAAUGGCUGGAUUAACUGUGAAUGCUUGGGAAACGGCACAUCAGAAAUUUGUGUCAUUUACCCAUCAAUCCAAAAACAUAUUUGGAUAUGAAUACACACGGAUAGAGAUAAAGAGAAGAGAUGGGGGAAAUAACUUACCAGAGAGGAUCUGACAGUAAGAUUUGGUGGCUUUUGGGUACAAUAAGAUAAACAAGGAAGUAAGAUCUGGUUUCUUUUGGUAGAGUGGAGUGGGCGAGAAGCAAUGAGAGAAAGAGGGAGAAAUUAACUGUGAGCAUAGAGGGUGUGGCUUGGUGGCAGCGGGAAGGCUGGAAUUCUUUUGGAGCUGUCGGGGACUUUGGAGAUUGCAGAGACAUAGAACUAUCAGUGCAGAGGAGUUUAGAUGAUAAAAUUGGGGCUUCUCGGGUUUUGACAGAUUAUUCUAUCAACCAACCAAAAGUAAAUAAACCAUUUCGACCUGAUCUUGUCAUUUAAACCGAAAAGUCGGUUUGAUUAGAUUGGACCAGUUGGGUUGGUGGGUUCUAUUCAAAAUGUGAAUAGCCCCAGGGGCUGGAACAGAGCAUGGAGAAAAGAAUUUCAGAUUAGAUGUAUGCAUGGGAUUGCUAGAGAAAUUUAUGAAAUCUGAUCUUCAAGUCCUUUUUAAUGAAUAUGAAUGUCUAUAGCUAUGUCUAUAGCUGGGAUUCUUGUUCUAGUAUAUUGAUAGGGAUGGAAUCAGGAAAAGGCCCAGAAG